CGGUAGGUAACCUGCCUGGUAGCGGGGGAUAACUAUUGGAAACGAUAGCUAAUACCGCAUAAGAGUAGAUGUUGCAUGACAUUUGCUUAAAAGGUGCAAUUGCAUCACUACCAGAUGGACCUGCGUUGUAUUAGCUAGUUGGUGGGGUAACGGCUCACCAAGGCGACGAUACAUAGCCGACCUGAGAGGGUGAUCGGCCACACUGGGACUGAGACACGGCCCAG
rnacentral:rRNA from 1 species